rnacentral:rRNA from 1 species
AGAGUUUGAUCAUGGCUCAGAUUGAACGCUGGCGGCAGGCUUAACACAUGCAAGUCGUACGGUAACAGAGGGAAGCUUGCUUCUCUGCUGACGAGUGGCGGACGGGUGAGUAAUGUCUGGGAAGCUGCCUGCUUGAGGGGGAUAGCGGAGCGAAAGUUCCGAUAAUACCGCGUAAGCCCGAGAGGGGAAAGUGCGGGACCGCAAGGCCGCACGCGAGCAGAUGCGCCCAGAUGGGAUUAGGCAGUUGGGGAGGUAAUGGCUCACCAAACCGAUGAUCUCUAGCUGGUUUGAGAGGACAAUCAGCCACAUUGGAAUUGAGAAACGGACCAAACUCCUAUGGGAGGCAGCAGUGGGGAAUAUUGCACAAUGGGGGAAACCCUGAUGCAGCCAUGCCGCGUGUGUGAAGAAGGCCUUCGGGUUGUAAAGCACUUUUGCAUUCGAGGAAGACAGCGUAUAAAUAAAUGCGCUAUUUGACGUUAGAGUGUGAAUAAGCACCGGCAAACUCCGUGCCAGCAGCCGCGGUAAUACGGAGGGUGCGAGCGUUAAUCGGAAUGACUGGGCGUAAAGGGCACGCAGGUGGCGAGAUAAGUUGGAUGUGAAAUUCCCGUGCUUAACAUGGGGACUGCAUCCAAAACUGUUGAACUGGAGUACUGUAGAGGGAGGUAGAAUUCCACGUGUAGCGGUGAAAUGCGUAGAGAUGUGGAAGAAUACCAGAGGCGAAGGCGGCCUCCUGGACAGAUACUGACACUGAGGUGCGAAAGCGUGGGUAGCAAACAGGAUUAGAUACCCUGGUAGUCCGCGCCGUAAACGAUGUUAACUUGAAAUAUGCGUACUACGGUAUGUGUGUUUCGCAGCAAACGCCAUAAGUUAACCGCCUGGGGAGUACGAUCGCAAGGUUAAAACUCAAAGGAAUUGACGGGGGCCCGCACAAGCGGUGGAGCACGUGGUUUAAUUCGAUGCAAACCGAAGAACCUUACCUAGGCUUGACAUGUAGGUGGCAGAGAAUGGAAACAGGAUCGACGUGAUAGCAAUAUCACGAGCCUACACAGGUGCUGCAUGGCUGUCGUCAGCUCGUGUCGUGAGAUGUUGGGUUAAGUCCCGCAACGAGCGCAACCCCUAUUGCCAGUUGCUAACACGUCAAGGUGAGCACUCAGGCGAGACUGCCAUCGACAAGAUGGAGGAAGGUGGGGACGACGUCAAGUCAUCAUGGCCCCUAUGCCUAGGGCGACACACAUGCUACAAUGGCUGGUACAAAGGGCAGCGAGACCGAAAGGUAGAGCGAAUCCCAUAAAGCCAGUCCCAGUUCGGAUUGCAGUCUGCAACUCGACUGCAUGAAGUUGGAAUCGCUAGUAAUCGCGGAUCAGCCAAGCCGCGGUGAAUACGUUCCCGGGCCUUGUACACACCGCCCGUCACACCAUCCGAGUCGGGUGCUCUCAAAGCCGGUGGUCUAACCGUAAGGAAGAAGCCGUCUAAAGAGUGUCCGGUGAGGAGGGUGAAGUCGUAACAAGGUAACCGUA